rnacentral:lncRNA from 13 species
GAGGUCCCGCAGGACCUCAUACUAGAAGACAUUGAGGAUGAUGAGCUACCCCGUGACGAGGAGAAGCCUGCGUCCCACAAUCACCGCCGUACGUAUUCUUUUUCUUUUAAAUAGUUACCCAGACGUAGUGCAUAUGCAACCAAAUUCACU